rnacentral:rRNA from 1 species
UAAUACGUAGGGUGCAAGCGUUAAUCGGAAUUACUGGGCGUAAAGCGUGCGCAGGCGGUUCGGAAAGAAAGAUGUGAAAUCCCAGAGCUCAACUUUGGAACUGCAUUUUUAACUACCGGACUAGAGUGUGUCAGAGGGGGGUGGAAUUCCGCGUGUAGCAGUGAAAUGCGUAGAGAUGCGGAGGAACACCGAUGGCGAAGGCAGCCCCCUGGGAUAACACUGACGCCCAUGUACGAAAGCGUGGGUAGCAAACAGGAUUAGAUACCCUGGUAGUCCACGCCCUAAACGAUGUCAACUAGCUGUUGGGGCCUUCGGGCCUUAGUAGCGCAGCUAACGCGUGAAGUUGACCGCCUGGGGAGUACGGUCGCAAGAUUAAAACUCAAAGGAAUUGACGGGGACCCGCACAAGCGGUGGAUGAUGUGGAUUAAUUCGAUGCAACGCGAAAAACCUUACCUACCCUUGACAUGUCUGGAAUCCUUUAGAGAUAGAGGAGUGCUCGCAAGAGAACCGGAACACAGGUGCUGCAUGGCUGUCGUCAGCUCGUGUCGUGAGAUGUUGGGUUAAGUCCCGCAACGAGCGCAACCCUUGUCAUUAGUUGCUACGAAAGGGCACUCUAAUGAGACUGCCGGUGACAAACCGGAGGAAGGGGGGGAUGACGUCAAGUCCUCAUGGCCCUUAUGGGUAGGGCUUCACACGUCAUACAAUGGUCGGGACAGAGGGUCGCCAACCCGCGAGGGGGAGCCAAUCCCAGAAACCCGAUCGUAGUCCGGAUUGUAGUCUGCAACUCGACUACAUGAAGUCGGAAUCGCUAGUAAUCGCGGAUCAGCAUGUCGCGGUGAAUACGUUCCCGGGUCUUGUACACACCGCCCGUCACACCAUGGGGGUGGGUUUCACCAGAAGUAGGUAGCCUAACCGUA